rnacentral:misc_RNA from 1 species
UCCGGUUCUUCACCGGCAGUCUCCUUAGAGUCCCCAACUUAACUUGAUGGUAACUAAGGACAAGGGUUGCGCUCGUUACGGGACUUAACCCAACAUCUCACAACACGAGCUGACGACAGCCAUGCAGCACCUGUCUCUGCGCUCCUUUCGGCACUCCAACCUCUCAGUCAGAUUCGCAGGAUGUCAAGGGUAGGUAAGGUUCUUCGCGUUGCGUCGAAUUAAACCACAUGCUCCACCGCUUGUGCGGGCCCCCGUCAAUUCCUUUGAGUUUCAACCUUGCGGCCGUACUUCCCAGGCGGAAGACUUAUCGCGUUAGCUUCAAUACUGCUUGGUUCCCCAAUCAACAUUUAGUCCUCAUCGUUUACAGCGUGGACUAC